GUUCCCUUUUCCUCCCUGUCUCCCCGGAAUCCACCGCAGAGCCCCGAGCGCGACCCCGCGAUCCCCAGCACCGGCCCGGGGCUCCCCCGACACCGCCGCGGCCGGCUACAGGCAGCUGUGAGCUGUUGCGUAGUCUCGGCAGACAAGUUGGGGAUCGCUGCCCAGGCAGUCGUGACCUGCAACACUGCAUGCUCAGAACAGUUCUCAGGAAGUCACGCGUACUCAUAACCUGAAGAGCAAAAAGCAAAUCUCUCUUAAGGUACUUUCCUGUCCUGUUGCCGAUUCACCCCCCGGUUGUCCUAUAGCAAGCAGUUGAGACACCUUGGCCUAAUUCUUAGCCGCACACGCCUUUUGAUCUGGCAAGCAGCUCAGACAGAGCAGAGGGCAGCAAGAAAGGUGGAUCUGAAUGUAGUAGACUUGGGCACCGAGCAAGAUGGAAGCAGCAGCAAGGCAUCAAAGAGAUGGCAUCUUUGUAAAGAAAAGAGAUAUAGUUCCAGGCUACCGGGGAUUCUCUGUACCUGUGGCCAGGGCUCCUUCCUCUGCAGGCUCUUUCCACACAGUUAAAGGUAGCUGAACGCAGUGCCCUUGGGAGGCAGUGACAUGGUGUCCCCGGUACUGCUGUGGGGUGGCUGUUCCAGGGUCUCUCAGGCUGUUUUGGGGUCCUUGGACAGAGACAGUGCUGUUCACAUUUCCUUGAGGAC